rnacentral:rRNA from 1 species
CCUGCCCUUUGUACACACCGCCCGUCGCUACUACCGAUUGAAUGGCUCAGUGAGGCUUUGGGACUGCCUAGAAGAGGUCGGCAACGACCACUUCCGGGCGGAAACUUAUCCAAACUCGGUCAUUUAGAGGAAGUAAAAGUCGUAACAAGGUCUCCGUUGGUGAACCAGCGGAGGGAUCAUUA